GACGAACGCUGGCGGCGUGCUUAACACAUGCAAGUCGAACGGAAAGGCCCCCACCUUGGUGGGGGUGCUCGAGUGGCGAACGGGUGAGUAACACGUGGGUGAUCUGCCCUGUACUUCGGGAUAAGCUUGGGAAACUGGGUCUAAUACCGGAUAGGACCAUGGUUUAGUGUCUCAUGGUGGAAAAAUUAUUGUUUUGGUGCAGGAUGAGCUCGCGGCCUAUCAGCUUGUUGGUGGGGUAAUGGCCUACCAAGGCGUCGACGGGUAGCCGGCCUGAGAGGGUGGACGGCCACAUUGGGACUGAGCUACGGCCCAGACUCCUACGGGAGGCAGCAGUGGGGAAUAUUGCACAAUGGGCGCAAGCCUGAUGCAGCGACGCCGCGUGGGGGAUGACGGCCUUCGGGUUGUAAACUCCUUUCGUUAGGGACGAAGCCACACCUUUUGUGGGUGUGGUGACGGUACCUUUGUUAAGAAGCACCGGCUAACUACGU
rnacentral:rRNA from 1 species